rnacentral:tRNA from 1 species
GCCUGGAUAGCUCAGUUGGGAGAGCAUCACACUUUUAAUCUGAGGUGCCAGGGUUCAAGCCCCUCUUCAGGUG